rnacentral:rRNA from 1 species
GGACCCGCACAAGUAGUGGAGCAUGUGGUUUAAUUCGAAGAUACGCGCAGAACCUUACCAACACUUGACAUGUUCGUCGCGGCUCUAAGAGAUUAGAGCUUUUCGGUUCGGCCGGACGAAACACAGGUGCUGCAUGGCUGUCGUCAGCUCGUGUCGUGAGAUGUUGGGUUAAGUCCCGCAACGAGCGCAACCCUCACUUUUAGUUGCCAUCAUUUAGUUGGGCACUCUAUGGAAACUGCCUGUGAUAAGCAGGAGGAAGGUGUGGAUGACGUCAAGUCCUCAUGGCCCUUACGGGUUGGGCUACACACGUGCUACAAUGGUAGUGACAAUGGGUUAAUCCCAAAAACUAUCUCA